rnacentral:lncRNA from 1 species
GGCCGUCGGGAGCUGAAAUAGAGGCCAGGACUCCUGGCUCCCCGUCCAGACUCUGAGGACCCAGGAGCCUCCAUGGGUACACUCAGAGGCCACACUAGAUGCAAAAAGAACCAUUUACAGAGAAGUGAGAGGUUCUCAAAGGCUCAACCAAAUGCCUCUGCCAGGAGAAUCUUUCAGAGUGUCCUGGAACAUUGGAAAUAGGCUUAAAGCUUAAAUGAUGAAUCAGAAGAGUUAUGCUGUAUUCUAAUGCUGCCACUAGAUCAGAUACCACCUCUGAGAUCCUUCUCUGCUCCUCACUGACCAAACUCAAGGAACAGAUCUUCCCUGCCCAGGUCUCCAGGACCCCAACCUACCCACUUCUAGGAGAGAAUUCACACAGGUCUUGAGGAAUAGAGACUACAAACAAAUCAAGUCUUCUGUGGGAAUGCUGGGCCAUGGGCUUUGGAAUCACCACCAGUGAUGGAACCCGAAGUAAGCUACUAAACCUCGACAGGCUCAUUCAUGAAUCACCACCAGUGAUGGAACCCCAGGUGGUCCUGAAAGGAGGAGGUGCUUUGCUUCUCUUUUUCGCAGAUGUCAAUUAUGGAUCAACUUCUGAGUCACAUAGAAGAGCACCAUCAAUUGGCCAUUUCUCACCUGAUCACUGAGGAUAUAAAGUGCUUUUCCAGACUCCAGGACUCGGUUCAUUGCUAGUAUCAGGACGCCUCUCAUGUAUGGGAAGCCAGAAACAUCCCAGGAGCCUCACUGACUGCUUGGGCACAGCCCUCUGAGCAGACCUAUGAAGAAACAGAAGGAUUUGUGCCUUUUAGGUAUCUCUGGUCAAAACAGGUAUUUGAAGUUCUGAUUCUGCUAUUAUCUGGCACCUCCACUUGGCCCAUUGCUGGAAAUAUUAGGACUAGAAAACAUCAAGAUCAGGCACCGAACAGGCAAAUCUCCACUGAGUGGUUCUGAUGUGCAAAUAGCUGAUGAAGACUGGUUAUGGUUAUAAAAUGGAACACAGUUUUCUAAU